GAUGAACGCUAGCGGCAGGCUUAACACAUGCAAGUCGAGGGGUAUAGUAGCAAUACUAGAGACCGGCGCACGGGUGCGUAACGCGUAUGCAACCUACCUUUUACAGAGGGAUAGCCCCAGAGAAAUUUGGAUUAAUACCUCAUAGUGUUAUUAGAUGGCAUCAUUUGAUAACUAAAGUUCCAACGGUAAAGAUGGCAUGCGUCCUAUUAGCUAGAUGGUAAGGUAACGGCUUACCAUGGCUACGAUAGGUAGGGGUCCUGAGAGGAGAUCCCCCACACUGGUACUGAGACACGGACCAGACUCCUACGGGAGGCAGCAGUGAGGAAUAUUGGACAAUGGGCGCAAGCCUGAUCCAGCCAUGCCGCGUGCA
rnacentral:rRNA from 1 species